rnacentral:rRNA from 1 species
GAUGAACGCUGGCGGCGUGCUUAACACAUGCAAGUCGAACGGUGAAGGCGGAGCUUGCUCUGCUGGAUCAGUGGCGAACGGGUGAGUAACACGUGAGCAAUCUGCCCCUGACUCUGGGAUAAGCGCUGGAAACGGCGUCUAAUACUGGAUACGAGCUGCGAAGGCAUCUUCAGCAGCUGGAAAGAACUUCGGUCAGGGAUGAGCUCGCGGCCUAUCAGCUUGUUGGUGAGGUAACGGCUCACCAAGGCGUCGACGGGUAGCCGGCCUGAGAGGGUGACCGGCCACACUGGGACUGAGACACGGCCCAGACUCCUACGGGAGGCAGCAGUGGGGAAUAUUGCACAAUGGGCGAAAGCCUGAUGCAGCAACGCCGCGUGAGGGACGACGGCCUUCGGGUUGUAAACCUCUUUUAGCAGGGAAGAAGCGAAAGUGACGGUAACUGCAGAAAAAGCGCCGGCUAACUACGUG